rnacentral:SRP_RNA from 1 species
CAAGCUUAUGGCUCCUACGACAACGGCUGCUACUGCUCCACCGAUGAUGAAUGCAUGUCUAGCCACUGCGAAGCCAACCAAUGCGAAUCAUCUUGUUCUGCCAUCCAAUCGG